UGACAUCAUCUGGGCAUGUAUGGUAUCUGUAUCUAUGUCAAGACCUGGGCUUUGCUCCACUUGGAGUCAGCUGAUUGGCAGGAGGGCAUCUGAAAUUGAGAGGAGGUUUCAGGCCGUUUACCCAGCCCUUUAGUGGGGAUCUGUCCGGGACUCUGCAGUCUGAACCUGCAACUGUAAAAGCAACUCUUGGACCACUGACUCUAAAACGCACAGAAAAAUGCAAUUGAUCCAGAACAGCCCAAGGAAUGUUAAAUAUUUUUUACAGAAACACAAAUGACAUUUAUAGAAGUAUGUAUGUGCUGUGCAUAGUGAUGUUUUUUCCAAAAGGUACAACAUGAGAAGGGGAAUAAUAUUAAUUUUAUAGUGGAGAAAACUGAGCUAAACUGCCUCAUCCGUGUGAUCAAAUAACAUUAACCAUGAUAAAGCAGCUGGGCACAGUGGCUCACACCUGUAAUUCCAGCACUUGGGAGCCUGAGGUGAGAGGAUCGCUUAGGGCCAGGACUUAGAGACCAGCCUGAGCAAUGUCGUGAGACUCUGCCUCUACAAAAGUACAAGUAAAAUUAAAUCACCCAGAUGUGGUGGCACAUGCCUGUAGUCCCAUCUACUCAAGAGGAUGAGGUGGAGGAUCAUUCAAGCCCAGGAGUUCGAGGCUGCAGCGAGCUUUGUUCAUGCCACUGCACUCCGGCCUGAGCAACAGAGUGAGACCCUGUCUCAAAAAAAAAAAAAAAAAAAAAAAAAACUGAUACAGCAUGUUGACACUAUGUACUCUUGUUAUAAUAUCAUGAGAAUAAAAGUUUCCCUCUGUGGGUUUCCUCUGCUAAAUCCACAACAGCCAUCCAAUCAUUAAGAAAACACCAGAGACAUCCCAAAGGAAGGAUUUCAAUGAUAUCAGAAAUAAGGAAAAUCUGAGAAACUGGCACACGAUACCUAAAUGUGAUGUGGUGUCCUGGGUGGAAUCCUGGAACAGAAUAUGGACAUUAGGUGAGAACAGAACAUCUGAUUAAUUGUGAAUGUUGCUGAAUGAUAAUGUAUAAUAUUGGUUCAUCAAUUGCAACAAAUGUCUCAAAUGAAUGUAAGAAUUUAUAAAAGGGAAAUUAUGUGUUGAAUAUAUAUAAACUCUCUGUAUGUACUUCUAACUAUUCUGUAAAUCCAAGCUAUUCUAACACAGACUUAAAAAAUAAAUAAAAUAUAUAUAUUUUAAAAAUUACACUAUUGAGC
rnacentral:lncRNA from 1 species